AUUGAACGCUGGCGGCAUGCCUUACACAUGCAAGUCGAGCGGCAGCACGGGAGCAAUCCUGGUGGCGAGUGGCGAACGGGUGAGUAAUGUAUCGGAACGUGCCCAGUCGUGGGGGAUAACGUAGCGAAAGCUACGCUAAUACCGCAUACGAUCUAUGGAUGAAAGCGGGGGAUCGCAAGACCUCGCGCGAUUGGAGCGGCCGAUAUCAGAUUAGGUAGUUGGGGGGGUAAAGGCUCACCAAGCCGACGAUCUGUAGCUGGUCUGAGAGGACGACCAGCCACACUGGGACUGAGACACGGCCCAGACUCCUACGGGAGGCAGCAGUGGGGAAUUUUGGACAAUGGGCGCAAGCCUGAUCCAGCAAUGCCGCGUGCAGGAUGAAGGCCUUCGGGUUGUAAACUGCUUUUGUACGGAACGAAACGGCGAGCUCUAAUACAGUUUGCUAAUGACGGUACCGUAAGAAUAAGCACCGGCUAACUACGUGCCAGCCGCCGCCGUAA
rnacentral:rRNA from 1 species